AUUGGUUGAAGAAAGUAGCUUUAUGUGAAAUAAACCUUUACACAGAAGGAGAGGCACUUCCAUGGAGUUAAUCCAAAAAUAGCACCUCUGAUAUGGCAAGUCGGACGCUUCUUGCAUGGUGAGGUAUAGCAGUAACUCAUUUCAUGAUUUGUCAUUACGCAGUUAUAACCUGCUUCUAUAAUAUACUGUACGGAGGACGAAAACUACCCAUGAAUAGU
rnacentral:ncRNA from 1 species